rnacentral:rRNA from 1 species
GACGAACGCUGGCGGCGUGCUUAACACAUGCAAGUCGAACGGAAAGGCCCUGCUUUUGUGGGGUGCUCGAGUGGCGAACGGGUGAGUAACACGUGAGUAACCUGCCCUUGACUUUGGGAUAACUUCAGGAAACUGGGGCUAAUACCGGAUAGGAGCUCCUGCUGCAUGGUGGGGGUUGGAAAGUUUCGGCGGUUGGGGAUGGACUCGCGGCUUAUCAGCUUGUUGGUGGGGUAGUGGCUUACCAAGGCUUUGACGGGUAGCCGGCCUGAGAGGGUGACCGGCCACCUUGGGACUGAGAUACGGCCCAGACUCCUACGGUAGGCAGCAGUGGGGAAUAUUGCACAAUGGGCGGAAGCCUGAUGCAGCAACGCCGCGUGCGGGAUGACGGCCUUCGGGUUGUAAACCGCUUUCGCCUGUGACGAAGCGUGAGUGACGGUAAUGAGUAAAGAAGCACCGGCUAACUACGUG